rnacentral:rRNA from 1 species
UGUGUGAAGAAGGCCUUCGGGUUGUAAAGCACUUUUGUCCGGAAAGAAAUGGCUCUGGUUAAUACCUGGGGNCGAUGACGGUACCGGAAGAAUAAGGACCGGCUAACUACGUGCCANCAGCCGCGGUAAUACGUANGGUCCAAGCGUUAAUCGGAAUUACUGGGCGUAAAGCGUGCGCAGGCGGUUGUGCAAGACCGAUGUGAAAUCCCCGANCUUAACUUGGGAAUUGCAUUGGUGACUGCACGGCUAGAGUGUGUCANAGGGGGGUAGAAUUCCACGUGUAGCAGUGAAAUGCGUAGAGAUGUGGAGGAAUACCGAUGGCGAAGGCAGCCCCCUGGGAUAACACUGACGCUCAUGCACGAAAGCGUGGGGAGCAAACAGGAUUANAUACCCUGGUAGUCCACGCCCUAAACGAUGUCAACUANUUGUUGGGGAUUCAUUUCCUUANUAACGUAGCUAACGCGUGAAGUUGACCGCCUGGGGAGUACGGUCGC